UAUGCUAAUUAGCAAAUCCAGGUGAUAUGAAUACUGGAAUUAAAUACUGAAGAGGAUUUUUACUUCCUGGAACCUUGAUUUUCCAACCUCUGGUACACUGCAGAUUUACUGCUUGUUGAGUUUAGAAUAAUUUGUGUUUUUCCUUUGUGUAAGCCCUUGUGAUUUGCGUAACUUCAUAUGUAGCAUGCACAUUAUAUAAAUGCAGUUUCUAAAUGAAUUUCCCCUGCUGCUUUCGUUUUCAUCUCAGCCCAGUCAAAAUGACACCUACUCCCUGAUCACUGCGGUUCCAGCCAGUUCAAAACUGCCCCUCCCUGCUCAAGAUGAUGCCCACACCGCCCACCACAGUGCAACCUACAGCACCCUGCAGAUGCACUGAGACCACUGCUUUUUCCACAUACAUCUGCUGUCUUCUCAGUCUCAGGCUGCAGUGGGUGUUUUUCAUGACCAGAGAGAGCUAGUCGUAACUAGUGUUGAUCCCACAUGAAAGACAACAGCUGUGUGGUGUAGAACAUGAGAACUACAGAACUUAUGUCCUAUUAAGCUUUGGAUGUUGCCUCAACAAUAAUUUAUUACAUAUCUGUGUGUAGAGUGUACUUGGUGAGAGUUCACUUUCAAGGUUUCAAGUAUCUCCAAAGCAGCUUCUACACCAAUGCUAUGUUUCCUGAAGCUGUCUUUUAAGUGCCUAUUCAGAAUUAUAAACUUAAAUCUAUGUUUAUAUCAUGCUGCCAGUUCUUUGAGUGCAGUGGUCUCAGGUUGCAUGCACCACAGGAAAUAUUUCCAACGGCACAUAUCAAAUGUUAAUUAUAUUAAGUUAAGAAAUUAAUGAUACAUAUGGACAACCUCAGGAGGCAUAAAAUUUGUAUGAAAGUUGCACUGGAAUGACCUGGCCUUUUUACUCUAGACCACAAAUACCAAAAUGCCCGACACCUGACAGUCAGCUGGUGGCUCAAAUGUCUAAAAUGGCCCUGAUCACGAAAACGGUCUGCUCUAAUAAAAACAUACUGGGUUUUUACUAUUUCUGUUAAAGUGUAAGUGAACUAUCCCUUUAGUGUUGUUUUAUGUAUUUCAAUCACAAGGUGUAUUUGUGCUUCCCUAGUCAUCCAGUGGGUGUAAUGGACAGCUGAAGCUCCACAGAGGAGCCGGUUACCCCGCACUGUUAAAGGAGCUAGUAUCCAACAUUAAACAUCAGAGUAAUCAUUCCAGUGCCUGUAGUGUGUAGGUGAUUGUUGUCAAUGUUUCAUAAGAAUGUGUUUAGCUCCAUUUACAAAAGAAUGUUGUCUUUUUCAUACAGCUUGUGCAAGUAGUUACAUCUUAACGCAAGGAUUUGGUUUGUCCUUGACAUGUUUGAAAUCGCACUUUUACCCUUGUACCUAAAUAAAGCUUUAUUUUCAUCAAAAGGA